rnacentral:rRNA from 1 species
GCAGCCGCGGUAAUACGUAGGUGGCAAGCGUUAUCCGGAAUUAUUGGGCGUAAAGCGCGCGCAGGCGGUUUCUUAAGUCUGAUGUGAAAGCCCACGGCUCAACCGUGGAGGGUCAUUGGAAACUGGGAAACUUGAGUGCAGAAGAGAAAAGCGGAAUUCCACGUGUAGCGGUGAAAUGCGUAGAGAUGUGGAGGAACACCAGUGGCGAAGGCGGCUUUUUGGUCUGUAACUGA